GGCCUGCUAGCUCAGUCGUCGGUUAGAGCGUCGUGCUAAUAACGCGAAGGUCGUAGGUUCGAUCCCUGCGCAGGCCA